rnacentral:rRNA from 1 species
AACAUACCUAUACGUUGCCUCGGCGGAUCAGCCCGCGCCCCGUAAAAAGGGACGGCCCGCCCGAGGACCCCUAAACUCUGUUUUUAGUGGAACUUCUGAGUAAAACAAACAAAUAAAUCAAAACUUUCAACAACGGAUCUCUUGGUUCUGGCAUCGAUGAAGAACGCAGCAAAAUGCGAUAAGUAAUGUGAAUUGCAGAAUUCAGUGAAUCAUCGAAUCUUUGAACGCACAUUGCGCCCGCCAGUAUUCUGGCGGGCAUGCCUGUUCGAGCGUCAUUUCAACCCUCAAGCUCAGCUUGGUGUUGGGACUCGCGGUAACCCGCGUUCCCCAAAUCGAUUGGCGGUCACGUCGAGCUUCCAUAGCGUAGUAAUCAUACACCUCGUUACUGGUAAUCGUCGCGGCCACGCCGUAAAACCCCAACUUCUGAAUGUUGACCUCGGAUCAGGUAGGAAUACCCGCUGAACUUAAGCAUAUCAAUAAGCGGAGGAAAA